AAAUAAAAAAUCGAUUUGUUACCUUAUGGUGACAUAUAUCGGAAUUGAGCUACCUUAAAUUUUUUUUAGGUUUAAGAAGCUUAAAAUUGACCACUUUUUGGUAUGAUUUAAGCGUUGCUAAAAUUACGUUUAAUGAGUAUCGAUGUUUAUUAGGCAUGACCAUGGUCAUGGUUUCGUGCCCAUAAUUUUUUCAUG
rnacentral:misc_RNA from 1 species